AAGAGACACUUCAGUGCUGAAUAGUUUGGU
rnacentral:piRNA from 1 species